GCAGCCAGAACACACUUGAAUCAGACACCGAUGGCAUACUGUGUUUGUCUUGACGUAUUUGCUCCUGGGGCAGACCAGGCAUUGUUUCCUUUUUUUCCUAAGACUGACCAGAAGACGUACGCGGUCUUCAUCUUCGUGGUCUUCGCGGUGGUCUUUGUGGUGUACCGCAUGCUCCGGCGGAGGCGUCCUGGCAGCAGCAGCAGCAGCAAACUUGUUGUGGCGCCCUGGGGACAGUAGAUGGUCUCGUCGCGCCUGACACGGGCUCAAUCAGGGCUCUGCCCAGCUGUUUCAGGAACAACCUUCGCUUGUUGAGUUUUCCACUCAUCCAUUCGGGGUGAAGUUUGCGCCAAACGACAAAUGCGUUGUAGGCCGAGACGUCCACUAUGUUGUGGAAUAAGGCCAUGGGCCAAUGAUGCGUUUUUCUUCUACAGCUGUAGGUGGCCGCGACCUUGUCAAGGUUGUCCGCCCCUACGUUGAUACGAUUGUACUUGAGAAUGGCAACGGGUUUCCCUCCUCCUCCUCCUCCUCCUCCUCCUCCUCCUCCUCCUCCUCCUUCUCCUAAUUGUCCUCCUGAAGCCCAGGUGGAUCAGCGGCAGUGGCAGUGUAGUGGUAAAGUUCCAAUAAUCAAUGAUCAAUAAUAAAUAAACUAUAAUCAGUAAUCAAUAAUCACAUUAAUAGUAAUGGAUAGCCUUUGAGCACUAAGCACACGAACACCUGUGUACACAGACGUCCAGGUCACUGUGACCUGUGCCAGCUUGGCAUGUGUUGUUUUGCUUACAUAAGUGCUUAACAGGUGUUGUGGUCAUUAUGGUGCCUAGCAGUGCCUCAAUCGGUAUACACAAGUUUCUGUUUUUCUCAUUAAAAUGGUAUGAUGUAAGACUGUGACCGAGAGAUGCCCUGCUAGAAGUCUGAUGCACCGUGAUGAUGUGCUCCUGGGUCAAUGUGACCUGGGUCAGUGUGACCCAAUGUACCUAAGAAAGGAUGAUGUACUGUAAAAAGAUGAAUAAAGUGGUUUGAUGAGGAUGGGAGUGGAACCAGAAGGAGGGGGGCAACCUCUACCUGGCUCCACUAGAAUCGAAACUAGUGAUAUAAUGGUGUCAAAUGUAGGAGGCCUGUCAUAAAAGAAGGAUGGGCCUGGGGCGUGGAAAACCACCAGGACUAAACAGUAUAAAAGCCAGUGCAUCAGGUGGGGUCUUCAGACACGCCCCGGGGCAUCUCUCAGUGUGUUUGGCCUGUACUUUGAGGAAUAAACACAUCUUCUUUGAAUCUGAAGACUGACUCCUAGACUCUUCACUGCCUGCAUUGGUGAGACUUAGGCAGCUAUUAUUUUUGAAUCUGCAAACUCUUUAGAAAAUCAGAACUUAGAGCUAGAACUGAAGAAACCCCAAGUUGUGAAGACAUUUUGACACAACAGCAGCAGCGGCGGUGGUGGCGGCGGCGACGAUGACGCUCUGAUCCAUGGUGAGAAUGAGGACGUUUUUGUUCUUCUUGGCCACGUACGAGAUCAGUCCGAGCCAAGGGCCUCCUCCUCCCGGCUCCGUGGCAGUCACAGCCAUCAAGGAGGACACCGCCCUGCCCUUGCAAUCGAGCAUUUCCAGCGAGAUUUCGGGUCUGUUGCAUUGAAGGGUGCCAAGGAUGGCGAGUCCUCGUUCCCUGAAGAGGUGGACCGCUAGCUGGCGCGAGGUGAAAAAGUUGUUGCACGUCACGGUCCUACCCAAACCCAGCCCCCUCGUCAGGUCCAUGAUGACGCGACAAGCCAGGUUCUUCUCCAGUGGACCUCAUUUGUCGGAUUUUCCAAGGUACAUUUGCAUCUGCCACGCGUAGCUGGACCUUGUGUCACAGGCGACCCAUAUCUUGAGCCUGUACCUGGCUGGUUUGUUGGGCAUGUACUGCCUGAAUGGACAUUGGCCUGUGUUGUUGUUGUUGUUUGGUGAGCAAAGAAAGAGGGGAGGAGAUAAAAGAAAAGAAAAAGGGAGUGAUUAUUGUUAUUAUUAUUGUUAUUAUUAUCAUCGUUGUUAAUAAUAAUAAUUUCAUUAUGAGUUACCAAAGAUGCAACUGUAACACACACACACACAUACACACACACACAAAAAAAAAACCUUACCUCUGAACGGGACCUACCCUCUUGUCUACGGUGACAUUGGGGCCUAGGACGUACAUUUCCGGCCACCUGGUUCACCACAGGUCCUACACGUGUCUCGCGGCAGCCAACUCGUCCGAACCGAGGCAUCGCCUUGACUCUGGUCCUUCGGUUGUCAAACCGUAGCGCGCUAGAAUACGCUCUGAACGUCUUUAGCGACAUGCCGGACCGCAAUAGCGGUCGUCCGGUAUCGGGAUCCCAGAGACUCUUGCAGGCUUCGCCUCUGGACCUGUAGAUGCCGGAGAGAAUGAGCAAGCCCAGGUACGCUCGAAACCACGUCCUGUCCAUCCUUCUCCAUCCGUCCGAAGCUCGCACUCUACCCUCCACCUCGAGAUUGGUCAUUUUGAUCACCGUGUCCUGGAUGUCUGGGUGAAUGAAUGCCAGGAACGUGGAGACUAUGUCUUUGGCCACGUCUUUGGCAAAGGCCGUGGGUCCCGGAGCUGGGUGGAGGUGAAGAUCGUCGUCAUCGCCAUCUUCGUCGUCAUCGUCAUUUGCCCCCGGGCGACCUGGGCACUGGGCUUCACUGUCACCGUCGCCGGGUGUUCUCCUUGGGCUCAGUUGUGCUCCUCAUCGGGCUCGUCCCCUCUUGUCCUGGGGAUCGAGCUGCUAGAGUGGUGUCCAUCGCACGUCGGUGGGUCCUUCAUCUGACUCUGAAGGGCCAGAGGAGGCCGUUUCAGUUCUAGGACUCUGAGGUGGUUCUUGUUCUUGUUCUUGUUGGUGGUGCUGUUACUGUUGUGCAGUAGCAGAAGCAGUAGUGGUUUGGGUUGGUUUUUGUUUAGCCCGUCGGUCGAGCUUUCUUCCUCCCGACUGACCAGGUCUUGCUUUUAUUUGGGUUUUUUUGAUGGUUUGGUUUGGUUUUUGUUUAGCCUGACUGACGGGCUUUCUUCCUCCCAAAUACCGGGUCUUGCUUUUGUUUUUUGGUUGGUGGUUUGGUUUGGUUUUCAUUUAGCCUGACCGACGGGCUUUCUUCCUCCCGACUGACCGGAUCUUGCUUUUGUUUUUGUAUUUUUUGUUGGUGGUUUGGUUUGGUUUUCAUUUAGCCCUACAGACGGGCUUUCUUCCUCCCGACCGACUGGGUCUUGCUUUUGUUUUUGUUUUUUUGGUGGUUUGGUUUGGUUUUCAUUUAGCCAGACCGAUGGGCUUUCUUCCUCCCGACUGAUCGGGUCUUGCUUUUUUUUCUCGGUGGUUUGGUUUUCGUUUAGCCCGACCGACCAGGCACACACACACACACACACACACUCAAAAAAGACAAAAGGCAAUAAUCAUAGACGUACUCUGGUGUGGUGGUCACAUACAGUUGUUGUUUUAUUUUGUUUUAGUUGCUCAUGUAGCCCAUAUUUAAUUAUGGCUGUAAUAAAUGUGAUCUGAAGCCCACAAACGUGAUAAGAUUAGUUUUAGCUGUUGUACUUUGUUAUAAUAAAUAAAUGGUACUGUCAGCGAUUAAAGGGUUAACUCCUCUGGGAUGAUUGACAGAUUGCUCUUAGCCAAUGAGCUGCUACAAAGUGGCGCAUUGACCCGCCUACUCCUUCCGUCUCCGGUAGUGAAGCUCUUUCUGCCUGUGAUGUGAGCGCUACACAAGCUAGCAAAACCGUGACGGAGAACUACAGAAACGGGUACAAAACCGGUACGGACUGAAGAGUUGACGGUAAUUUAUUCAUGUUUAAUGUAAUUUUAUGCAUUUAUACAUCGAAGACGAUUCAUAUAGUUCAAGAUUUAAUUGGUUUUGGUCCGUUUCGUACUUGUGGUAUGUAGACGGUCAAGGCUUUGAAGCGGCGCCAUUACGUGCUCCUACGUUGUCCUCGUGAGAUCGGUGAGAAAAUCAGUUUUCAGUUUUUAGAUUUAGUAUGCACUGGUUAUGUUCUCAUCUUAAAAAAUGUUCAUUAAGUGGUCUCUUAAAAUUAUUCACGAUGUGUUUAUUGGAGUAAUAUUUUAUUCUGCUGUUAUGAUGUGUGAAUGUGAUUUCAUGUAAAGAUUUACAGUGAGUGAAAAGAAUGCAUUAGACAACAAUGCUAAUAUUACGUUUUUCACUGUUGUAAUUCGAAUUGUAAACAUGGUUAAUGUUACAAUUGACGUGUUCACAUGUAGAUAUAUUGUGAAAUAUGAUAAUUUGUAGACUUAUAGUGUUUUAUGACACUGUUGUUGGCAGGUCAGUUUUUUUAUUAUGUACAGUGGACCUGUUGUUGAUGGCGAGCCAAACCUCUGGAAGAACUGCUUGAUUCAUCCCUCUGCUGCAUGGUGCAGUGUGGUAGGCCAACUGCAAUAAAACCCAUCCACACCAUUUCACACUUGCUGCCUUUUUCCCAAAAACCACACACACACACACACACUCCCUUGGAACUUUUGGUCGGUUACUUACCUGGACUCAUAUGGACUUGACACAUCUUCACAUGCAGGAAGUGGACUUGGAGUGGAAUUGUGGGAACCACUCCUUCAAAUGAGGGUUUUGUUGUAGGACACUGAUCUAUUGUGAGUCAUGCAAUUUCUGUUUGAUUUUGCUUUUGAAACUGUGAAUUACACUGAACUUUAACUUGGAAUAUGUGAUUAGAAGGGUGCACCCAGGUAAGAUUUGAUGUGACACUGUGAUUGUGGAAACAGACGGUCCUUACUGAGAAACUGUUGGUACCAAAAAGAUAUACUGUUUUUUUCCUCUUUCAGAAAUUAAUUUAUUUAUUUUUCUAUAUGAUUUUUUCUAAAAAAAAAGAAAUACAAGCUGGCAUUUGUAUUAUUUUGAGCCUUUGUCUGAGUCUCAUUCAUUUCACUCUUCCUGUGAGUAGUCGAACCAUCUGGCCCAAUCAUUUACAACCAUUCACAUUCAACUUUGGUAAAGGUAAGUUGUAAGUUGACACCUCUUUAAAAAGAGGGUUACACUCACAUUGGCUGAAAACAUGUCAAACACAACUUGUCACCGUAAACAGUGACUCCACCUGAACACCCACCGCCCCGCCCCCAGGGUCCUUUUUUCUGUUCUUGUUGUUGUUCUUUUUCUUCAUCUUCUUCUUCCUUUUCAUUUCCUCCUCCUCCUUCUUCUUGGACCAAGUCGCUCUCGUCUCCGCUCUCCUCGUUGCUGUCAAACGGGUCAAAUCGGCUCUCAGUCAUCGUCGUGAGCAUGUACCAUAUGUGAUUUUGCAUAGCUUUGCCUGUGUUGGUCAUGUCCACGACAUCCUGAUCCAGAGCGCGCCUGUUUCCCUCCGGGCAGCACUCCUGGGCUUUGACCUUGACUUUGAGCUCGAGGUCGCCUGCGAUCUCCCCCAAGAAACACAGGUCCAGCUGCUCUUCGGUCAGGUCCAUGAGCAGUGACUGUUCGAAAGGCUUUGGACGGGGUUCCCCUGCGGCCAUGCCUAGAGUGCUCCUGGCUUGGGCGCACAGGUCAGCUUCACCAAAUUUUUGGAAUACUGAGGGUGCAGCGAGGGAGAGUCGAAGAUCUUGUACGCAACGGCCUUGGCUCGAAGGUAGUCUCCUUCCACUGCAAUCAAAACCAUUAGCUUGUCCCAGCUCAACACCAUUACCUUGUGGACGAUCGACAACCGAGCCCUCCAGUAGCAUGUCCAGGCCACUUUGUGGAACAUCGGCAGCUCCGCAGCAGCAUCGGGGAUUGGUAUGUGUUUCUGUUUUUGCUGUUGCUCUUGUUGCUGUUGCUGGUUCUCCUCAUCGCUGUUGGUAUUGCUGUCAUUGUAGCCGCUUUCGUAGCUAUUGUCAUCAUCAUCAUCAUCAUCAUCGUUGUUGCUCUAAUUGUCGUCGCUAUUGUCGUCGUCACUAUUGUCGUCACAGCAUGUAGCAUGCUCUUUAAAUGUAUUCCUCCCAAUGCUGUUCUGUCCAUCUACUGAACAGAUUGCUAAUUUGUAAUCCUGUUUGCUUUUCAAAACUAGAAUUGCACCCCAAUUAGUACUUCUGUACAUAGUUAAUAUGUCACAAUAAAAACAAAUGCAUAAAAGAAAACACAAAAUCAUGGAUAUAACAUCAACAGAGAUAAAUAUUCUCCUCAUGACAAAAUUUCACAAUUUGGUUCACACCAUCACCCAGAGGCAACAGUAUGACAUUAGAUUUGAUAGAUAUGAAUUCCAAAGUACAAGGGAUAUUACAUAACUUUGUGAUGGAUAUGUAAAAAUAAAAAAUGCAGUUAAAGAAAUAAAUGUUUUAAUCAUUAAGACAAUAUACAAUUUACAGAAAAGUGUUUUUGUUAAAAGUUCAUGCUGUAAAUAUGGGAUCAAAUCCCAGACUUUCUCAAGCAUACCUUGUUGAUUCUACCAUUCUUUGAACAAAGAUGGUGAAUGCUAUUUUUAUUUCUUUGAAUAGGCAACGGAUGAUGAGUUAGUGCUUACCAAUUGGGUUGGAAGUUGGCACUGUGAUGGUGAAAGACGGAGAAGAUAUCAUUGAUAUGUCAUGUGUCCUUUAGGCAGUAAUCCUCUGUGAUCUCAAAGGACUCCCCAAGCACCAUUCCCAUGCUGAAGGGUCUUCUGUUUGCUAUCAACAUAGACUAUCGAUAGAAACUUCGGUACAUCUUGGAAGUCAUUUAGAUGCUCCUUAUGAACAUUGAUGGUGGACAGUGUUCACAAUCUUUAUGAAUUUUAUGUUUUGCUGGAUUGUUCAAAAUCACUUUUGGACAAGACUGUCGACUGCAGCUAAUUUUCAGCUGGGCCUCCCAAGCACCAUUGCUUCAGUAAUAGCCUUGCUUUUUGCCCUCAAGAAAGACUACCAUAGAAACUUAUCUACACCUUUGAAGUUAUGGAAAAGUUCUAAAGAACAUUGGUGGAGCAUGUGUUUGUCACUUGUAUAUGAUUAAUGUAACUGAUUCCUUUAGACAAGAGUGUAAUGGUGAACUCUGAAUGGCUAAUCUCAUGCAAGUACAUCAGUCAGUAAAGUGGACAUUUGAUCUUUUGGUUUUUUGCAUGUCAUGAGACUAUAGCAGAUGUUUUCAGAUAUCCACAUUCUUUCAAAGUAACAACUGAAAUCAUUUCAGAAGCAUGUGUAGCAGGAUGAAUGCUGUACUCUCCUUGGGUUGGCUGUGUUAUGUUCCUGUGACAUAAUGACCGUGCCUUGUUUUGACCAAUCAUGGCAGGAGGAUGCACUAUAAAGCUGGGCUAGGGUUGCUCACUGUUUGCUUGCUGCAACGUCAGGGGCACGCCCCGCUUCCCGUUUGCCUCACUUCCUGUUUACCUCACUUCCUGUUUACCGUUGCUAACAGGGUCACUGUUGGGUGCCCAUAGCCAGAAAGCUGAGCCGCUCGCUGGCUGCUGUACGUCCAUUCGAGCCGUGAGCCGCUCGCGAGCCGUUACUGAAGCUGUGGGCCUCCGGUGGUGGGAACUGGUGUCUUCAGGUGGUGGGAACCCCUUCCUGUGUGGCGUGCUGCUCAUCCCUUGGUUGUGUUUUUUUUAUUUCUUCACUCAGUUGUGUGUGUGUGUGUGUGUGUGUGUGUGUGUGUGUGUGUGUGUGUGUGUGUGUGUGUGUGUGUGUGUGUGUGUGUGUGUGUGUGUGUGUGUGUGUGUGUGUGUGUGUGUGUGCGUGCGUGCAUGUUCACGUGUGAGUGGGGUGAUUUCUCCUGGGCUCCCUUGUGUUGUCCGUUGGCCCAAACCUCCACCAGAGCCCCCAGCUCUGAUUAGUCCCCAAACCCGUCAUUUAACAAUCUCGUGUGAAUGGUUGUUUUUUUUUUUUUCUUUUAUUGGUUUUAAACUGAGUAUUUUUAGUAUUAAAUAAAAUUUGUAUACUUUUGCCUGCACUGGAA